rnacentral:rRNA from 1 species
UGAACGCUGGCGGCGUGCCUAAUACAUGCAAGUCGAGCGAACAGACGAGGAGCUUGCUCCUCUGACGUUAGCGGCGGACGGGUGAGUAACACGUGGAUAACCUACCUAUAAGACUGGGAUAACUUCGGGAAACCGGAGCUAAUACCGGAUAAUAUAUUGAACCGCAUGGUUCAAUAGUGAAAGACGGUUUUGCUGUCACUUAUAGAUGGAUCCGCGCCGCAUUAGUUAGUUGGUAAGGUAACGGCUUACCAAGGCGACGAUGCGUAGCCGACCUGAGAGGGUGAUCGGCCACACUGGAACUGAGACACGGUCCAGACUCCUACGGGAGGCAGCAGUAGGGAAUCUUCCGCAAUGGGCGAAAGCCUGACGGAGCAACGCCGCGUGAGUGAUGAAGGUCUUCGGAUCGUAAAACUCUGUUAUUAGGGAAGAACAAAUGUGUAAGUAACUAUGCACGUCUUGACGGUACCUAAUCAGAAAGCCACGGCUAACUACGUG